UACGGAGGAUCCGAGCGUUAUUCGGAAUUAUUGGGUUUAAAGGGUGCGUAGGCGGACUGGUAAGUCAGAUGUGAAAGUUUACGGCUCAACCGUGAAAUUGCAGUUGAUACUGUUGGUCUUGAGUAUAGAUGAGGGGGGCGGAAUUUGUGGUGUAGCGGUGAAAUGCUUAGAUAUCAGGAAGAACUCCAAUUGCGAAGGCAGCUCACUGGGGUAUAACUGACGCUGAUGCACGAAAGUGUGGGUAUCAAACAGG
rnacentral:rRNA from 1 species